AACUUUCGACAAUGGAUCACUUGGUUCCCGCAACGAUGAAGGACGCAGUGAAAUGCGAAACGUAAUGCGAUUUGCAAUCUCUGUGAGUCAUCGAGUAUUUGAACGCACUUGGCACCGAGGGGUCUCCCCUCGGUACACCUAUCUGAGCCGCGGAUAAGCGAGUUAUUUGAGUGUUCAUCGGUGACGAUGUCACUUUAAUGUGAGUCUGGCAGUGGAGCAGCGGAGAUUUGCUGCGUGUGAUGACGAGACUCUGGUCCCGGCCUCGCGCGGUAGAUCCCGCCUGCACCGAUCAACUGGCAAUGUCCGGUGCUCAUACCACCAUGAUAUAACACGCGCUCAGAUUAGGUGGGAGGACCCGCUGAACUUAAGCAUAUCAAUAAGCGGAGGCU
rnacentral:misc_RNA from 1 species